UAAUCUCAGCUGGCAACUGUGAGCUGUUCGUGCAAUCCUCACAGUGGCCUCUGGGACUAUG
rnacentral:pre_miRNA from 1 species